AGUGGGGAGCUGCUACUCUUCCCAGGUCAAGUUAUUAUUAUUGUUGUUGUUAUUAUUAUUGUUACUAUUUUGCAGAAAACCAGGCAAACGAGAGACAAUAAAGGAUGGGAAAUACUCCAUAUGGACUCAGUAAAGCUUAGGUGAAAUGACAUAGACUGACAUGCUAUAUAAAAAAUGGAGCACUUGAGCACCAGCACUGGGGAUGAGAAGUUAUUGCCAUCACAAAGUUCCUUGCAAUGCAAACUACAAAACUGCCUGGAUAUGACUAUGAAUGGUGAUCAAUCCAAGAUCUUUGAGGCUGCAGCCAACUCUAAUGCAAGCAGGAAGAAAGAAGAAGGUGUUGGGGAGAAGUUGUUUAUUUGCAAACUGCAUGAGGGUGACUUUGGGCAGCAUGGAGACAAGCCCCUUACUCAGCAGAUCCCUUUAGGGGGCUCAUUGCAAAGACCUAUUCUUAGUUCUUAAAGAGCCAGAAAGUCAUCUGAGAGUUCUGGGUAGUAGGGGGAGGAAAGAGAAACCAAGACAGGUCUAUAAGAGAAGGGUUACAAUUAGGUCUUGCAGUUAGCAUAAUUUCACAUAGAAAUUGUUUUAUUUAAAGAUAUGUAAAACUCACAGUGGGUUCACAUCUUUUCAACUAUAGUAUUUUUUUUGGAUGAGCCUCACCACGAAGAUCAGUUCCCUUCUUUACAAUUCAAAAACUUCCCACUGUAAAAGUAACCUGCCACUGACUGACACUGUGUCUGGAGUCCUGUACUUGGAUGGUCCCAUUUCAUCUGAGUUAUGAGGAGACUCUAAAGCUUAGAGGAUUUACAUACUGCUUCAGUGCUGAUCUGGUAUUUGAUCACAGUCUAUCUGAUCCGGGAACUGGAACACUUAACCACAUACUAUGCUCUUCCUUAGACACUUGAUACUCUGACCACAGACCAUUUUUCUCAGGGCUGUAUGUAAACAGCAGCCUGAAUUCUGAGAGCAUGUUGAAGCAGGAGCAUCUGAUAUAGAGCCCCAGUUGUCCUCUGUUAGAUUCUGAGGUUCUACUUAAGCCUCCAAAUUUGAGAAGAGCUUGAAGUUGGCUCCAUGGAGAAUGUGGAGGUGAUUAAUGAGUUUUACAAAAAAGGAAUGAGGAAGGGCUGUAGAACUGUUUGCUAUGAAGAUAAAGAGGAAGCUGGGAGGGUAACUGGGCAAUAGCUGCAGCUAGUUUUGGGGUAGAUACAAACCAUAGAUUCUAGGAAAAAGAAAGAAAGCUGUAAGCCUUGUAAUCUAUCAUCAGAUCCAAGGAAGAACCCUGAGCUCUACAACAUGAAUGCAUGAAGAUAAUAGGGAAAGAAGAUUGUCUCCCUUUUAGAGGGAGCAAGAAGCAAUUAAUCAAUAAGUCUUUAUGGACUACUUGCUCUGUGUACUCAGACCUGGGCACAGAGUCAUAGGACUUAGCCAGAAACAAACUCUGUUCUUAGAAACAAAUUGGUCUCAUUGAGUUGCAAGACUUCUAAUGAAAAUAGAUUCCACGAGACAGUGUGCCUGUGACACAAAUGUGGUUUACUGCUGUUGUGCCAAUCUGGUAGCCACUUGCCACACGUGGCUAGGGAAGAUUUGAAGUGUGACUAGUCCACACUGUACUGCAAAUUUAAACUACGUACUAGAUGUCAAACUCCUAGUAUGAAAAAAUAAUGCAAAGUAUUUGAGUAUAUUUUAUGUUGAUAUGUUAUAAUGAUAUGAUGUGUAGAUUAGAUUAAAUAACUAAUGCUAAAUUUUGGUUUUGUAACUUCUGUGAUGGGAAGGAGAUGAAGAGAUGGAGGGGGGUGGAGGAAAGGGGAUGAAUAAAGAAUUGAGAUGUGUUACAUUCAUGUACCAACUGUCCAUAAGGAUGUAAUUAUUGUAUACUAUGAACAUGUACUGAUAAAAAAAUAAA
rnacentral:lncRNA from 1 species